GUCCUGAUAGUCCCAAAUAGGACGAAACGCGCGUCCUGGAU
rnacentral:hammerhead_ribozyme from 1 species